rnacentral:rRNA from 1 species
UACGUAGGGUGCAAGCGUUGUCCGGAAUUAUUGGGCGUAAAGAGCUCGUAGGCGGUCUGUCGCGUCGGCUGUGAAAUCCCGGGGCUCAACCCCGGGCCUGCAGUCGAUACGGGCAGACUAGAGUGCGGUAGGGGAGACUGGAAUUCCUGGUGUAGCGGUGAAAUGCGCAGAUAUCAGGAGGAACACCGGUGGCGAAGGCGGUCUGCUGGGCAGUUGCUGACACUGAGGCGCGACAGCGUGGGGAGCAAACAGG